UGAUUCUAAAUCAAAAAACAAAAAUCGAAUUACUAUGCCAUAUUCGUUUUUUAAAUUUAAUAUUGAACGCAGAAAAAAUAGAAAACGCUGUUUUAUUGAUCCUGAACACACGUAAAAAAAGAGAGAAAAUGGCUUGUUUUAUCUGUUUGUUAUUUUUCUCUAUUCGUUUAAUCAUAAAAAAGUGUAGUAAUCAAACUCUCAUAACACCAAACAUGAUGAAUGUCCUAAAGUUCAGCGAAUUUCCAUUAUAACACCUAAUCUAACCCGGAAGUGAAGCUAAGCCUAAUUGUCAGUCUUUUCUUGGGUAAAAAUGUCCACUCGAGUCAUUUGCGCAAAUGAUUUCUAAUAUGAUACAAACUGGAGCAACAUUUUCAGAGAUCUCAAACAGUCUAGUUCAACAUGGUGCUGGUCGGGGUUGUUCUGCAAUGAGCAUCCGAAGAUUUUUUGCACAGCACAACAUUGUGAGAAGGAGGACAUGUACCGGACUCCCAUUUAGAACUGGGAAUAGCUAAUGCCAUAAGUGAGACAGGACCAACAUUUGGCAGAAAACUCAUGACAGGAUACCUGUCAGCAAAAGGGAUAUGAGCGGGUGAGGGCAGAGUGGGCAGACUAUUGAGGACCAUCCAACAACCAUACCAUGAAGCGUGAUGUCAGAUCUGCCGUUAACUAUGGGGUGUGGGACCAAAUUAGAGUGGAUCAUGGAAAGGAAUUUUACUUAUCCUUAUUCAUUCAAGAAAUGAUUGAAGGUUACCGUAACAGACGAGAGAGACUACCCUACAUGCAAACACAAUCAGCUAAGGUAUGAACUCGAUUGCAUUAUAUAGACAAAUUGUGUAAAGACUUUUUUGCCAAUACUGAAGAAAAUCACAGCCCCUGGUGCAUACAACACAGUUGUACAGUUGUGGUUCUAAGUUUACAUACACCAGAAUGUUAAUAGUUUCUUAAAAUAUAGGAGAGAAUUUUUUUUGUACUGCCUUGAAAAAGCUAUUUCACAAUGUUCUUCUGUUUUCACAAUCACAGAACCACACAGUUGAAAGGAUGUGGCCAGAGAUUAAAAAUAGGGUUAAUUAUCCACUCAAGACAGCACUUCUGGAGCUAGUGCACCAGGAAUUGUUGCACUGUAAACCCGGCUAAGUUGAUUGUACUUAAACCAUUUGAGGCAAAUGAUUGCCUCAAAUGGUUUAAGUAAUCGACAGUAGAAAAAAUUAAUUUGUUUAAGUAGAGUCAACUUAAAUGCAAAAUAGUCAGAACUUAAUAUUUGAAGUCAAAUAUACUUAAAACCAUAUUUGUACUAAAAUAAGUGGGAUAGAAAAAUUCCACUUCAGUUAGUUUUUUUUUGUGAAUGACCACACAAUGCAGUACAUUUUUAUUUUUUAUUUUAUUGAAACAUAUUACAAAGCAACAACAAACAAAUAAGCUUUAAAUAGCUUUAAAUGACAAGAACAGUUAUAUGACCAAAAUGCCUUUUUACCAGCAGGUAA